UACGAAGGGGGCUAGCGUUGUUCGGAAUUACUGGGCGUAAAGCGCACGUAGGCGGAUACUUAAGUCAGGGGUGAAAUCCUGGAGCUCAACUCCAGAACUGCCUUUGAUACUGGGAGUCUCGAGUUCGGGAGAGGUGAGUGGAACUGCGAGUGUAGAGGUGAAAUUCGUAGAUAUUCGCAAGAACACCAGUGGCGAAGGCGGCUCACUGGCCCGAUACUGACGCUGAGGUGCGAAAGCGUGGGGAGCAAACAGG
rnacentral:rRNA from 1 species